GACGAGCGCUGGCGGCGUGCUUAACACAUGCAAGUCGAACGGAAAGGCCCUGCUUUUGUGGGGUGCUCGAGUGGCGAACGGGUGAGUAACACGUGAGUAACCUGCCCUUGACUUUGGGAUAACUUCAGGAAACUGGGGCUAAUACCGGAUAGGAGCUCCUGCUGCAUGGUGGGGGUUGGAAAGUUUCGGCGGUUGGGGAUGGACUCGCGGCUUAUCAGCUUGUUGGUGGGGUAGUGGCUUACCAAGGCUUUGACGGGUAGCCGGCCUGAGAGGGUGACCGGCCACAUUGGGACUGAGAUACGGCCCAGACUCCUACGGGAGGCAGCAGUGGGGGAUAUUGCACAAUGGGCGGAAGCCUGAUGCAGCAACGCCGCGUGCGGGAUGACGGCCUUCGGGUUGUAAACCGCUUUCGCCUGUGACGAAGCGUGAGUGACGGUAAUGGGUAAGGAAGCACCGGCUAACUACGUG
rnacentral:rRNA from 1 species